rnacentral:SRP_RNA from 1 species
GCUGGGUAUGGUGGUGCAUGCCUGUAAUCCCAGCUACUCGGGAGGCUGAGGCAGGAGAAUCACUUGAACCUGGGAAGCAGAGGUUGCAGUGAGCCAAGAUCACACCACUGCACUCUAGCCUGGGUGACAGAGUGAGACUCUGUCUCAA